CAGGUUUUGAGAAGAGAAAACGACAGAUAGGUGGAUGAAAUUAAUUAAGAUCAUGAAUGGACCGACUUACAAGGAUAACAUAUUACUCUACGAUCGUGACACGUGUACGGUCAUCCCAUCUUACCCUUUACCUUCGUUGUGAUAUAAAUGGACACGCAUGGUUCCUCCUUAAGACUAAACCUCGUACAACAGCAUCAAUUAAACAGAGAGUUUUCUUGAAUUCCAGUACUUGUCUUUUGUUUUAUCAAUCUUAUCAAAAUACCAUGUCUGAUGGUAACUCUGGUUGUGGAGGAUGCAAGAUGUACCCCGACAUGAGCUACACAGGGAGUACCAUGACCGAGACUUUGGUGCUCGGGGUGGGACCUGAAAAGACAAACUUCGGCCCCAUGGAAAUGGGAGAAUUCUCUACUGAGAAUGGCUGCAAAUGUGGAUCUGACUGCAAGUGUGACCCUUGCACUUGUUCUAAAUGAACAAACUAGAACUUCGAUUGCUGAGAUCAUCGUUAUGUAAGUGCAUCUUAUAAUUUUAUGUAAGGCUAAUGAGAAAUAGUAAUGUUUGUAAGUAGUGGUUAUGUUGUUUGUGUAAUAUCUGCAUCUUAUAAUUUUAUGUAAGGCUAAUGAGAAAUAGUAAUGUUUGUAAGUAGUGGUUAUGUUGUUUGUGUAAUAUCUGCACCUUAUAAUUUUAUGGAAGUGUUUGGAAGUGUGUUGUGGUUUCUACUA